CCAACUAAAGUCCGGCUUUGCCUUUGGUCCUCUGCAUGCCACCGCGCGACCUAUCCUUUGAAGGAGAAUGCUGAAACCAGUUGAGUUGGUUGCUCUUCAGGACAGUAGUUCUUUCUCUAUCGUAUACAUAUUUUUGUAUGUCGACACAUGCCGUAUGCGACGACGUAGACACUUCUCAACACUUGAGUGACUUGAAUUUGGGCCAACCAUGUUGACCGAAUGUCAUUGGACCGUGGAGUCGAGUAGAGGGCUCAGGCUCGAUCGGCACAACGGUUCAUUGCAGGUUGAGUGAGGAAUGAACGUCUACUCUUUCUUUCCCAAACUGGCUGGGCACACGCCAAUGAGACGGAAGCUAGUGCCAAACCAGUCCUUGGAAGUUUUGUUGUGCUGCUGGACUUUCAAUCAUCAUGUAAAGUAUAUUCCGGUUUCUGAGUCUUCGUGUGAACCUGAAGAGCUACACUGUGUAGAGAUGUUGGAAGUUUAUCCUGAUCACGACACUGCACCAAGUACAAGCACUUCCUCGGCACUGCCUGAGCCCUGUUCUCUGUUUCCUGUGACCAGGAGAAGCAACUAGAAAUUUGGAGCUUGACCUGGAACGCUGGUGCUCUCUCUCUCUCUCUCUCUCUCUCUCUCUCUCUCUCUCUCUCUCUCUCUCUCUCUCUCUCUCUCUCUCUCUCUCCUCUCUCUCUCUCUCCCUCUCUCUCCCUCUCUCUCUCUCUCUCUCUCUCUCUCUCUCUCUCUCUCUCUCUCUCUCUCUCUCUCUCUCUCUCCGUCACGUUCUGCCACUGUCCGAAACCGGUGCAUGUGCUAGCAUGUCGAAGCGCAUUGUGUCUGAGUCACGCACUCUCCUGCUCCUCCCUCAUAUGCCCAAGACAGUAUGACCAACUGUGAAUACAGUUCAUGCCCACAUGUGAACUUGUGUGAUUCUCUUGUAGUAAGCUGCCACAUGUGUACUUGCACGUGUUGUGCACAUGUGUGUGUGCACGCGCGCGCGCGUGUGUGUGUAUCUAUGGGACUGCGUUCUCCUAUUCUCUCUCCGUUGCCCCUCCGAGGCCCACGCAACCCUUGUGGCAGUGGCUCGACAGCACAGGGCAGGUGUGUGUGCGCGCGCGUGCAUGUGUGUAUGUGGGUGGGUGCGCGCGCGUGUGCAUGCGCAUGUGUGGGUGUGCGCGCGUGCAUGCAGAUGUGUGGGUGUGGGUGUGUGCGCACGCUGAUGCUCAGCUCUAAAGAAUUAUGUCCGUGUGCGUAGCCAGUGUAUGGUGGCAACAUAGCCUUCCUUCAUGUAUAUGUGUAUGCGCAUACUAUUUGGGAUGCUUUUCUGUUUUUGGUUGGAUCCAGUUACAUAGUCUUCUGUUCAAUUAUUUUUGUUUAUACAGCUGCUGUAUUUGUGGUGCAAUUUUAUGUCUUUCUGCUGGUCAAUUUGUCGUCUUGAUGGUGUACUAAUGCUGAUAUACAUAGAAAAUAUUACCCUCAGAAA